GUUUACCUGCGACGUUGGUGACUGCCAACAAAGUUUUAUGAUCUAUGCUUUGUUGAAAAUGGGAACCCAAACGUCGGAUGGCAGUAGACCAGGCUUGUACCUGGAAACUUUAAAUUCGGCAUGGCGUGCCCACCUGGAUUAUCCAGGUCAAAAACUGAGGUAAGACGGCGUUGCGGGGAACCU
rnacentral:other from 1 species